GACCGGUUCUAGAUAGCAUGCAUGUAUAAGUUCACACCUUUAUAUGGUGAAACCGCGAAUGGCUCAUUAAAUCAGCUAUGGUUCCUUAGAUCUUACAAUCCUACUUGGAUAACUGUGGUAAUUCUAGAGCUAAUACAUGCCAACUAAUCCCUGACUUUAUAGGAAGGGUGGAUUUAUUAGAACAAAACCAACCGGCUUUGCCGUUGGCUUGAUGACUCUGGAUAACUUUUCUGAUCGCACGGCCUAGCGCCAGCGACGUAUCUUUCAAAUGUCUGCCCUAUCAACUAUCGAUGGUAGGUGAUAUGCCUACCAUGGUGAUGACGGGUAACGGGGAAUCAGGGUUCGAUUCCGGAGAGGGAGCCUUAGAAAUGGCUACCACAUCUAAGGAAGGCAGCAGGCGCGCAAAUUACCCACUCUCAGCUCGAGGAGGUAGUGACGAAAAAUAACGGGAUGGGUCUCUAUGAGGCUUCAUCAUUGGAAUGAGUACAAUUUAAAUCCUU
rnacentral:rRNA from 1 species